rnacentral:rRNA from 1 species
AACGAACGCUGGCGGCAUGCCUAACACAUGCAAGUCGAACGGGAUCCACCUUUCGGGGUGGUGAGAGUGGCGGACGGGUGAGUAACACGUGGGAACCUGCCUUUUGGUUCGGGAUAACCGCGGGAAACUGCGGCUAAUACCGGAUGUACCCGCGAGGGGAAAGAUUUAUCGCCAGAAGAGGGGCCCGCGUCCGAUUAGGUAGUUGGUAGGGUAAAGGCCUACCAAGCCGACGAUCGGUAGCUGGUCUGAGAGGAUGAUCAGCCACACUGGGACUGAGAUACGGCCCAGACUCCUACGGGAGGCAGCAGUGGGGAAUAUUGGACAAUGGGGGCAACCCUGAUCCAGCAGUGCCGCGUGAGUGAUGAAGGCCUUAGGGUUGUAAAGCUCUUUUGCCAGGGAAGAUGAUGACGGUACCUGGAGAAUAAGCCCCGGCUAACUUCGUGCCAGCAGCCGCGGUAAUACGAAGGGGGCUAGCGUUGUUCGGAAUUACUGGGCGUAAAGGGCGCGUAGGCGGCCAUUUAAGUUAGGUGUGAAAGUCCUGGGCUCAACCUGGGGACUGCACUUAAUACUGGGUGGCUUGAAUUCGGGAGAGGAUAGCGGAAUUCCCCAGUGUAGAGGUGAAAUUCGUAGAUAUUGGGAAGAACACCGGUGGCGAAGGCGGCUAUCUGGACCGACAUUGACGCUGAGGCGCG